rnacentral:rRNA from 1 species
GGUUAAGUGAAUAAGGGCGCACGGUGGAUGCCUUGGCACUAGGAGCCGAUGAAGGACGGGACUAACACCGAUAUGCUUUGGGGAGCUGUAAGUAAGCUAUGAUCCAGAGAUUUCCGAAUGGGGGAACCCAAUAUCUUUUAUAGGAUAUUACUUUUCAGUGAAUACAUAGCUGAUUAGAGGUAGACGCAGAGAACUGAAACAUCUUAGUACCUGCAGGAAGAGAAAGAAAAUUCGAUUCCCUGAGUAGCGGCGAGCGAAACGGGAAGAGCCCAAACCAACAAGCUUGCUUGUUGGGGUUGUAGGACUCCAAUAUGGUAGUCUGUUAGUAUAGUUGAAGGAUUUGGAAAAUUCCGCUAAAGAGGGUGAAAGCCCCGUAGACGAAAUGCUGACAACACCUAGGAGGAUCCUGAGUACGGCGGAACACGAGAAAUUCCGUCGGAAUCCGCGGGGACCAUCCCGCAAGGCUAAAUACUCCCUAGUGACCGAUAGUGAACCAGUACCGUGAGGGAAAGGUGAAAAGCACCCCGGAAGGGGAGUGAAAUAGAUCCUGAAACCGUGUGCCUACAACAAGUCAAAGCUCGUUAAUGAGUGAUGGCGUGCCUUUUGUAGAAUGAACCGGCGAGUUACGAUUGCAUGCGAGGUUAAGUCGAAGAGACGGAGCCGCAGCGAAAGCGAGUCUGAAUAGGGCGAAUAAGUAUGUAGUCGUAGACCCGAAACCAUGUGAUCUACCCAUGUCCAGGUUGAAGGUGCGGUAAAACGCACUGGAGGACCGAACCCACGUACGUUGAAAAGUGCGGGGAUGAGGUGUGGGUAGCGGAGAAAUUCCAAACGAACUUGGAGAUAGCUGGUUCUCUCCGAAAUAGCUUUAGGGCUAGCCUCGGAAUUGAGAAUGAUGGAGGUAGAGCACUGUUUGGACUAGGGGCCCAUCUCGGGUUACCGAAUUCAGAUAAACUCCGAAUGCCAUUCAUUUAUAUCCGGGAGUCAGACUGCGAGUGAUAAGAUCCGUAGUCGAAAGGGAAACAGCCCAGACCACCAGCUAAGGUCCCAAAAUAUAUGUUAAGUGGAAAAGGAUGUGGGGUUGCACAGACAACUAGGAUGUUGGCUUAGAAGCAGCCACCAUUUAAAGAGUGCGUAAUAGCUCACUAGUCGAGUGACCCUGCGCCGAAAAUGUACCGGGGCUAAACAUAUUACCGAAGCUGUGGACUACACCAUUAGGUGUAGUGGUAGGAGAGCGUUCUAAGGGCGUUGAAGGUCGAUCGUGAGGACGGCUGGAGCGCUUAGAAGUGAGAAUGCCGGUAUGAGUAGCGAAAGACAGGUGAGAAUCCUGUCCACCGUAUGACUAAGGUUUCCUGGGGAAGGCUCGUCCGCCCAGGGUUAGUCGGGACCUAAGCCGAG